AAACGACAAGCUUUAUGAAACCGUGGCAUUUUGCGUUGAGAUGGAAAAGGAACGCGCCACACUCUCCUGGAUACGAGGCUACGUGUGUGCGGCUUUUGCGCCAAAGGUCUUUCUACCAACAAAACAAAAUAGUAGGGCAGAAGUGACAGCGUCAGAAAGAAAACAAUGCUGUUCCGAUUGCUGAUGGAGACAACAGAGGAAGGUGCCAAGUAACUCUGGAGGAUAUUCUCGCCAUGACGAAUCGAGCUGGUAUCAACAUUCUUCGGAGAUUAUAGCCAAAACUCACAGGAACACACAGCUUUCAAUUGAGAAAUGCUGUACACAGCGCCCAGCGCCCUGGGAGCUGAACGUCUGCGGCCAGGUUACAGUACAGAAGGGUCAUCCAAGGUGCAUCAUGACCCUCAUCCAUCUCCCACCAUACCAUAUGCUGGAUGGAGUCAGAGUCUCUACAUUGACUUAUCAUCUUGUGUUAUAUUCAGUAAUUACAAUGAAGUUAUAAAUCUAGUUGGUAAUACUACACAUAAUUUGACAUUACACAUCUUAGGUGCAUUGUGGGGACCCCUUAUUGGACCAAAUGUAGCUGGUUCGAAUCCCUCCUGACCUCUCCCUACAUCUCCAUCCAUGGCUGAAGUGCCCUUGAGCAAGGCACCUAACCCCACAUUGCUCUAGGGACUGUAACCAAUACCACUU